GGAGACGUGGCCGAGUGGCUGAAGGCACUCCCUUGCUAAGGGAGCAUACGCUAACCGCGUAUCGAGGGUUCGAAUCCCUCCGUCUCCG
rnacentral:tRNA from 1 species